rnacentral:rRNA from 4 species
CCCCGGUAAACGGCGGCCGUAACUAUAACGGUCCUAAGGUAGCGAAAUUCCUUGUCGGGUAAGUUCCGACCUGCACGAAUGGCGUAAUGAUGGCCAGGCUGUCUCCACCCGAGACUCAGUGAAAUUGAACUCGCUGUGAAGAUGCAGUGUACCCGCGGCAAGACGGAAAGACCCCGUGAACCUUUACUAUAGCUUGACACUGAACAUUGAGCCUUGAUGUGUAGGAUAGGUGGGAGGCUUUGAAGUGUGGACGCCAGUCUGCAUGGAGCCGACCUUGAAAUACCACCCUUUAAUGUUUGAUGUUCUAACGUGGACCCGUAAUCCGGGUUGCGGACAGUGUCUGGUGGGUAGUUUGACUGGGGCGGUCUCCUCCUAAAGAGUAACGGAGGAGCACGAAGGUUGGCUAAUCCUGGUCGGACAUCAGGAGGUUAGUGCAAUGGCAUAAGCCAGCUUGACUGCGAGCGUGACGGCGCGAGCAGGUGCGAAAGCAGGUCAUAGUGAUCCGGUGGUUCUGAAUGGAAGGGCCAUCGCUCAACGGAUAAAAGGUACUCCGGGGAUAACAGGCUGAUACCGCCCAAGAGUUCAUAUCGACGGCGGUGUUUGGCACCUCGAUGUCGGCUCAUCACAUCCUGGGGCUGAAGUAGGUCCCAAGGGUAUGGCUGUUCGCCAUUUAAAGUGGUACGCGAGCUGGGUUUAGAACGUCGUGAGACAGUUCGGUCCCUAUCUGCCGUGGGCGCUGGAGAACUGAGGGGGGCUGCUCCUAGUACGAGAGGACCGGAGUGGACGCAUCACUGGUGUUCGGGUUGUCAUGCCAAUGGCACUGCCCGGUAGCUAAAUGCGGAAGAGAUAAGUGCUGAAAGCAUCUAAGCACGAAACUUGCCCCGAGAUGAGUUCUCCCUGAGACUUAGAGUCUCCUGAAGGAACGUUGAAGACGACGACGUUGAUAGGCCGGGUGUG